GACAGAGGAGCCAAGCGUUGUCCGGAUUGACUGGGCGUAAAGCGCACGCAGGCGGAUUCGCGCGUGGGGUGUGAAAUCUGGCCGCUUAACGGCCAGGCGCCAUCCCAUACGGCGCGUCUGGAGUGAUGCAGAGGUCGAUGGAAUUGCCGGUGUAGUGGUGAAAUGCGUAGAGAUCGGCAGGGACACCCAGGGGGAAACCAGUCGACUGGGCAUCUACUGACGCUGAGGUGCGAGAGCGUGGGGAGCGAACCGG
rnacentral:rRNA from 1 species